rnacentral:misc_RNA from 1 species
UUGUUUAUUUAAUUUAUUUUCAGAUUUCGACAUGAUUAAAAGAAUUUGAUUGCAGGCUACUGACAAGCGCUAGCCAAAGGUUCAAAACCCUCGGCAGUCCGGUUAAAGACGGGCUCGCCAAAGCAACAUGGUAGUUAUACAAAGGGUUGGAGGUCGGGCCUGAAAGACCCUAACUCAUUAAUGAUCCUUCCGCAGGUUCACCUACGGAAA